rnacentral:rRNA from 1 species
AUUCNGGGGCUUAACUUCGGGGUGGCAGGCGAUACGGGCAUAACUAGAGUGCUGUAGGGGAGACUGGAAUUCCUGGUGUAGCGGUGGAAUGCGCAGAUAUCAGGAGGAACACCGAUGGCGAAGGCAGGUCUCUGGGCAGUAACUGACGCUGAGGAGCGAAAGCAUGGGGAGCGAACAGGAUUAGAUACCCUGGUAGUCCAUGCUGUAAACGGUGGGCGUUAGGUGUGGGGACCGGUUUGGUUUCUGUGCCGUAGCUAACGCAUUAAGCGCCCCGCCUGGGGAGUACGGCCGCAAGGCUAAAACUCAAAGGAAUUGACGGGGGCCCGCACAAGCGGCGGAGCAUGUGGAUUAAUUCGAUGCAACGCGAAGAACCUUACCUGGGUUUGACAUGCACCAGACGGUUGUAGAGAUACGUACCUCCCUUUGUGGUUGGUGUGCAGGUGGUGCAUGGUUGUCGUCAGCUCGUGUCGUGAGAUGUUGGGUUAAGUCCCGCAACGAGCGCAACCCUUGUCUUAUGUUGCCAGCACGUUUAGGGUGGGGACUCAUGAGAGACUGCCGGGGUUAACUCGGAGGAAGGUGGGGAUGACGUCAAAUCAUCAUGCCCUUUAUGCCCAGGGCUUCACACAUGCUACAAUGGUUAGUACAACGCGCGGCGAGCCUGUGAGGGUGAGCGAAUCGCUGAAAGCUAAUCUCAGUUUGGAUUGGGGUCUGCAACUCGACCCCAU